CACCCGCCGGCUAAGCCCCAAGAUGGCGAAUCAUCUCUUUAGAGGCUCUUAGGCAUUUUCUCCCGACUAAGAAAAGAAGAGGCAUAGAGGAGACCCAUGGAGAGAACACUGUGUACCAAUGGGGUCAGAGACUGGAUGAUAUUUCUACAAGCCAAGGACCACCAGGAUUGCCAGCCACUGGUGGAAGCUAAAGAAGAGGCUGAGGAUUCUGUUCUAGAGACUUGCAGAGUCCUGGUCCCCCAAACUGCAAAAGAAUACAUUUCUGUUGUUGUAAGCCACCAAGUUCAUGAUAAUUUGUCAC